AAUCGAUGAUGAAUGAAAAUUACACCAUCUUUCGACUGAAAUGAUGCUGAUGGAUAAAUUAUUAUCAACUGAUGAUU